AUUGAACGCUGGCGGCAUGCCUUACACAUGCAAGUCGAACGGCAGCACGGGUGCUUGCACCUGGUGGCGAGUGGCGAACGGGUGAGUAAUACAUCGGAACGUACCUUAUCGUGGGGGAUAACGCAGCGAAAGCUGUGCUAAUACCGCAUACGCCCUGAGGGGGAAAGCGGGGGAUCGAAAGACCUCGCGCGAUUGGAGCGGCCGAUGCCUGAUUAGCUUGUUGGUGGGGUAAAAGCCCACCAAGGCGACGAUCAGUAGCUGGUCUGAGAGGACGAUCAGCCACACUGGGACUGAGACACGGCCCAGACUCCUACGGGAGGCAGCAGUGGGGAAUUUUGGACAAUGGGGGCAACCCUGAUCCAGCAAUGCCGCGUGAGUGAAGAAGGCCUUCGGGUUGUAGAGCUCUUUUGUCAGGGAAGAAACACCGGCUCUAACACAGUCCGGGAAUGACGGUACCUGAAGAAUAAGCACCGGCUAACUACGUGCCAGCCGCCGCCGUAA
rnacentral:rRNA from 1 species